UCCAGACUCCUACGGGAGGCAGCAGUAGGGAAUUUUGCGCAAUGGGGGAAACCCUGACGCAGCAACGCCGCGUGAUUGAUGAAGCCCUUCGGGGUGUAAAGAUCUGUCAGUGGGGACGAAACUUGACGGUACCCACAGAGGAAGCAUCGGCUAACUCCGUGCCAGCAGCCGCGGUAAUACGUAGGGGGCAAGCGUUAUCCGGAUUUACUGGGUGUAAAGGGAGCGUAGACGGCAGCACAAGUCUGAAGUGAAAUGCCGGGGCUUAACCCCGGAACUGCUUUGGAAACUGUGCAGCUAGAGUGCAGGAGAGGUAAGUGGAAUUCCUAGUGUAGCGGUGAAAUGCGUAGAUAUUAGGAGGAACACCAGUGGCGAAGGCGGCUUACUGGACUGUAACUGACGUUGAGGCUCGAAGGCGUGGGGAGCAAACAGGAUUAGAUACCCCUGUA
rnacentral:rRNA from 1 species